UACGUAGGGUGCAAGCGUUGUCCGGAAUUAUUGGGCGUAAAGGGCUCGUAGGCGGUCCAUCACGUCGGGAGUGAAAAGCUGGGGCUUAACCCCAGUCCUGCUUCCGAUACGGGUGGACUAGAGGUAGGCAGGGGAGAACGGAAUUCCUGGUGUAGCGGUGAAAUGCGCAGAUAUCAGGAGGAACACCGGUGGCGAAGGCGGUUCUCUGGACAGUUCCUGACGCUGAGGCACGAAGGUCAGGGGAGCAAACGGG
rnacentral:rRNA from 1 species